rnacentral:misc_RNA from 1 species
CUGAGAUAACUGCCCUACGGGUAGAACUCACACCCUUGAAUACAAUACCUUUUGUUGCUUUGGCGGGCCCCAGGCUCCGGCACACCGGCUUUGGCUGGUGAGUGCCCGCCAGAGAACCCGAAAUUCUUGAAUAUUAGUAUCGUCUGAGUAAAAUUAAAAUUAUUUA